rnacentral:rRNA from 1 species
AGGACGAACGCUGGCGGCGUGCUUAACACAUGCAAGUCGAGCGGAAAGGCCCUUCGGGGUACUCGAGCGGCGAACGGGUGAGUAACACGUGAGUAAUCUGCCCCUAGCUCUGGGAUAGCUCCGGGAAACCGGGAUUAAUACCGGAUACGACCACCUUAGACAUCUUUUGUGGUGGAAAGAAUUUCGGCUAGGGAUGAGCUCGCGGCCUAUCAGCUUGUUGAUGGGGUAACGGCCUACCAAGGCGACGACGGGUA